GUCUGCCUAAUGGAGCACAUGGGUUGUUUCCUGCCAACAAAAUCCUUGCUCAAAUCCUAGGGUCUUUAUGUCUCUGAAGAUAUACAGGAAAUGAGUAAAGAGACCCGACGGCAUGAAGCAAAGGGUUGCUGUCAAAGUAACACAACAAAUUGAGACCGUCCUGGCAGGCACGGACUCUCUGUUGAGCCAGAAGGAGACCUGAGACAGGAUGACGGUCAUGAUGCAGGGCAGAUACGUCUGGAUCACAAAGUAUCCGAUCUUCCUCUUCAGGUGGAAUUGAGCCGUCAUCACCGUGUACUCACCUGAGGAGAGAGGGUCAGCUGAGUGGGGAUGCUCACACACAUCAGACACACCUGGGUAUUAUGAGUAGACUGAUAAAAGGUGGCAUAAAUAAGGUAUGCAUGGUAUUAUAUUCAUGUUACAUACACAUUUAUUUUACUGUGUUUAUUUGGAAACUUUUAAAUUAGUACACUGUGAAUACUACAGUAGAAAUUCAUGAAUCUUGGCAGUGUAGCGCUGUCUCAAAUAGCACACGGCUCAAAACAGCUAAUGUUUGUACAGAAGUUUGCAAAUGAGACACUACUGUAUGUGUUGUGUGCAGUGUAGGAAUAUAAGAAAGUACAUUCAAUAUUUAAAAAAAUUAUAAUCUUGAAUUUCUUUUAUUUGAUGCUACUUUUUACUUCAUUUUAGUGUUGUACUUUUAAUUCCACUACAUGUAGUACUUUUACUUUUAGUAUAAUUUGAUGCUUUUGAUGUAUUUUUUUAUGAAUAGUUUUGUACUUUCAGUUCAAAUUCGGAUUGCAGGACAGAGUAUUGUUACAAUUAGGUACUGUAUUUUAAUAAACAUCUGAGAAAACCCCAA